UUGGGUGUCUUUUUUUCCUUUGCUCCGUGUCAGUCUUGUUCAACAUAGUUUCCCCGCCAGGCACGUGUGAAAUUGUUUGAGUGAGUGUCCGUGAGGGAGCGUGUAUUUUUUUCUUCUUUGUCCUGGCUGUCAAUUACACGGCCCGUCAGCACAGCACAGGCACGCAUCGGGUACAGGAAUCGGGACCGGAACAUCUGCGUUAACAGGCGAGAUUGGGCCGGGGAGCACCGACCGGAUGAUCACAGAGAUCAGAGAGCAGAGACCAGCCGCAUAGCCACAUGUGCGUAAAAUUACGUUCACCAGUGUGUGUGUGUGUGUAUGUGUGUGUGUGUGUGUGUGUGAGGAUGUGUGUGUACGUUGCCCGCAUCCACCCCAAAAGCACGGCCACAUAUGGGAAGCUAGCAAGCCAGCCAUUCCGACGAUGCUUCUGCUUCCUUCACUGCACUACACUGCUGCACCUCAGCAACCUGCGACAAACACGAACCGGGUGUAACGAAACGGAACGGAUGUGUGGAUUCCCCAAAAAUGAACACGUGAAACGAGCAGUACAACAUAUUACCAAAGGAGAUAUGCGCGCUGACCCAUUUCCAGACCGCGUGAAAGAACUUCCGAACGGGGCAGGCCUUCGGAGCAGGAAGCAAAACAGAUACAGAAGAUACAAAAACACUCCCAGCAGCCGCCGCGGCCGUCGCCCGAAAAUGCCGGUAAUAAUUGCGUUCAAUUAAUCAAAAGAUCACAACCAUGAAAUUAUUAAACAGACAGACAAACCCUUGUGCGUGCGUGCGUGUGGGGGAGAAGAGAGCAGAUUACAAAACGAUACACCAACCGGUACCAAACAAAUGAGGAUCAGGAAAGCUUACCGGGGCCAGACGGACGGGCGUGGGAGGGAUUCGGUGAAACAGGAAAACCAGAAAACCAGGAACAACCAGGAAGGAUCGACAAGUAUGUACAUUGAUAUGUACAUUGAUGGGUUAAUGGGUGACUCUUUUUUGGCUUUUGAUGACUUAAUACGGGGGCAGAAUUACAUCAGAAUUAUCGGGACCUUUUUUAAGGAAGAAAUUUUCGAUCGAACUAUGAAAUGAAGUCCAGCAGUAGUCGGAUAGUUAAUCCUGGUCUAAAUGGGAGGAUGAAUAGAACAAAUGACGUUCUGGACUCCAUGUGACGACUCUGGAAGGUGUCAUUCGAAGCGCGGGGCUAGACAACGAUAUCCGUGGCAUGAUCCUCCACCGGUCUCUCCAAUUUCAUCAUCGACAGGACAACAGUGAAGGUGUUUAAGGCGUACACCCGACUCAAACGCGAAGCAGCGACGAAGACGAAGUACCUGCUUGCCGGAUACUCAAACCAUCUGGGAUCUCAGUGUAUUAGUUGACGGCGACAAUCUCGAGCUAAUAAAGGAGCGCAGCGUAAUCCGAAGACGCCUUGUGCAGGGGAAUCGUGCGUGCUACGGGCUUCACCGACUACUGAGAUCCAGAAUACUUCGAUCCCGCACGAAAUGUGAUAUAUAUAUAUAUAUAACGCACAUUGUUUCGCCGAUUGGCGAAGGCGACUGGCAGGAUACGAUGGCUGGGACAUGUUAGAAUGAUGCCAGACGCAUGCCCCACCAAGAAGGUGUUCGACAGCGAUCCCCAGUUGAGCAUAAGGCGCAGGGAAGCACAGUGAACUCGAUGGCUGGACCAGGUGAAGUGAGACCUGUCGGAGAUCUUGGGUAUCUACAAAUGGGAGGCUGCAGCCAGGGAUCGAGCAUCCUUGAGAAUGAUUAUUGUCCGGGCCAUG